GCUGGUGGCAAGUAAAGCUACAAUGUAUAUCAACAUAAAAUCAGAAUAAAACAAUCACUUAGCACACAUACACAUGCAUAGCACUUUCCAUUUAUCUGAACACAUAUGGAAUUCAAAUGUACUAACCAACCCUGUACACACUAAUUUUUAACUUGGACUGAACCACAAAUUAGGGUUAUUUCAUUACUAAAUUUUACAAAGGUAGAGCAGGAGUUUUUAAAAUUCUAUUCUGGUGAUUCAGGAUUAUUUCAAUUUGUUUAACAUUAGGAAAAUGUA
rnacentral:lncRNA from 1 species